CUACGGGAGGCAGCAGUGAGGAAUAUUGCACAAUGGGGGGAACCCUGAUGCAGCAACGCCGCGUGGAGGAUGACGCAUUUCGGUGUGUAAACUCCUUUUAUAUGUCAAGAAAAUGACGGUAGCAUAUGAAUAAGCACCGGCUAACUCCGUGCCAGCAGCCGCGGUAAUACGGAGGGUGCAAGCGUUACUCGGAAUCACUGGGCGUAAAGGACGCGUAGGCGGGUUGGAAAGUCAGGUGUGAAAUCCUACAGCUUAACUGUAGAACUGCACUUGAAACUUCUAAUCUAGAGUAUGGGAGGGGAGAUGGAAUUAGUGGUGUAGGGGUAAAAUCCGUAGAUAUCACUAGGAAUACCUAACGCGAAGGCGAUCUCCUGGAACAUUACUGACGCUAAGGCGUGAAAGCGUGGGGAGCAAACAGGAUUAGAUACCCGAGUAGUC
rnacentral:rRNA from 1 species